UUAACUAUUAUAUAGUACUCAGACAUCACUAAAAACAAGAGUUGGGUCCUCUGGCGGGCACAUACCAACCGAAGCCGGUAGCGGAGGCCGCGGCCCGCCAAAGCAACAAAGGUACAAAUUUCAAGGGUGGGAGAUCUACCCGUAAGGGCAUGAACUCUGUAAUGAUCCUUCCGCAGGUUCACCUACGGAAA
rnacentral:misc_RNA from 1 species